rnacentral:rRNA from 1 species
CAGGCCUAACACAUGCAAGUCGAGCGGUAAGGCCUUUCGGGGUACACGAGCGGCGAACGGGUGAGUAACACGUGGGUGAUCUGCCCUGCACUCUGGGAUAAGCUUGGGAAACUGGGUCUAAUACCGGAUAUGACCACAGCAUGCAUGUGUUGUGGUGGAAAGAUUUAUCGGUGCAGGAUGGGCCCGCGGCCUAUCAGCUUGUUGGUGGGGUAAUGGCCUACCAAGGCGACGACGGGUAGCCGACCUGAGAGGGUGACCGGCCACACUGGGACUGAGACACGGCCCAGACUCUACGGGAGGCAGCAGUGGGGAAUAUUGCACAAUGGGCGGAAGCCUGAUGCAGCGACGCUGCGUGAGGGAUGAAGGCUUCGGGUUGUAAACCUCUUUCAGCAGGGACGAAGCGUGAGUGACGGUACCUGCAGAAGAAGCACCGGCUAACUACGUGCCAGCAGCCGCGGUAAU